rnacentral:rRNA from 1 species
GGAGUCACGCCAGAAAUCUUACCCGGAGAGACAGCAGAAUGAAGGUCAAGCUGAAGACUUUACCAGACAAGCUGAGAGGUGGUGCAUGGCCGUCGCCAGCUCGUGUCGUGAGAUGUCCUGUUAAGUCAGGUAACGAGCGAGAUCCUCGCCACUAGUUGCUAUCAUUAUUCUCAGGAAUAGUGGGGCGAAUUAGUGGGACUGCCGUUGUUAAAACGGAGGAAGGAGGGGGCUACGGCAGGUCAGUAUGCCCCGAAACUCUGGGGCCACACGCGGGCUGCAAUGGUAGCGACAAUGAGCUCCAAACUCGAAAGAGAGUGGCAAUCUCUAAACGCUACCACAGUUAUGACUGAGGGCUGUAACUCGCCCUCACGAAUAUGGAAUCCCUAGUAACCGCGUGUCAUUACCGCGCGGUGAAUACGUCCCUGCUCCUUGCACACACCGCCCGUCGUUUCAUCGAAGUUUGCUUUUAGCGAGGUGAUGUUUAAUUGACAUUAUCGAACUUGAGGUAAGUGACGAGGGAAAAGUCGUAACAAGGUGACCGUAGGGGAACCUGCGGUCGGAUCA